AGAACUGUUGUUAAGGAACUCGGCAAAAUGACCCCGUAACUUAGGGAUAAGGGGUGCCACCAUCAGGUGGCCGCAGAGAAUAGGCCCAAGCGACUGUUUACCAAAAACAUAGGUUUCUGCUAAGUCGAAAGACGAUGUAUAGGAGCUGACGCCUGCCCGGUGCUGGAAGGUUAAGGGGAUCUGUUAGAGCAAUCGAAGCAGUGAACUUAAGCCCCAGUAAACGGCGGCCGUAACUAUAACGGUCCUAAGGUAGCGAAAUUCCUUGUCGGGUAAGUUCCGACCCGCACGAAAGGC
rnacentral:rRNA from 1 species